AUGAUAAUUCAAUGGAAAGA
rnacentral:miRNA from 1 species